rnacentral:rRNA from 1 species
AAUCAACGCUGGCGGCGUGCCUAACACAUGCAAGUCGAACGCGAAAGCCUCGCAAGAGGCAAGUAGAGUGGCGCACGGGUGAGUAACACGUGGAUAACCUGCCUUCGAGUGGGGAAUAACCUUCCGAAAGGAGGGCUAAUACCGCAUAACACCUUUGGUCAAAAGACUGAAGGUUGAAAAGAGCAAUUUGCUCGAAGAGGGGUCCGCGCCUGAUUAGCUAGUUGGUGAGGUAACGGCNCACCAAGGCUUCGAUCAGUAGCCGUCCUGAGAGGGAGCACGGCCACACUGGAACUGAGACACGGUCCAGACUCCUACGGGAGGCAGCAGUGGGGAAUUUUGGCAAUGGGCGAAAGCCUGACCAAGCAACGCCGCGUGGGUGAUGAAGUAUCUUGGUACGUAAACCCUUUCGGCAGGGACGAACAUAAUGACGGUACCUGCGGAAGAAGCCCCGGCUAACUCCGUGCCAGCCGCCGCAGUAAU